rnacentral:rRNA from 1 species
GACAGAGGGUGCAAACGUUGUUCGGAAUUACUGGGCGUAAAGCGCGUGUAGGCGGCCAUCUAAGUCGGGCGUGAAAUCCCACGGCUCAACCGUGGAAGUGCACUCGAAACUGGAUGGCUAGAGUCCUGGAGAGGAAGGUGGAAUGCUUGGUGUAGAGGUGAAAUUCGUAGAUAUCAAGCGGAACACCGGUGGCGAAGGCGGCCUUCUGGACAGUGACUGACGCUGAGACACGAAAGCGGUGGGUAGCAAACAGG